rnacentral:ncRNA from 1 species
AGAAUCGGUAGGGGAGCUUCCCAUGGGCGGAGAAGCCGGAGGGCGACCGACGGUGGAGCGCAUGGGAGUGAGAAUGCUGGCAUGAGUAGCGAGAGACGAGAGAGUAACUCGUCCGCCGUGAACCCGAGGUUUCCUGGGCAAGGCUAAUCCUCCCAGGGUCAGUCGGGGGCUAAGGCGAGGCCGGGAGGCGUAGCCGACGCGCAGCAGGCAGACAUUCCUGCACCGCGCACGCGGCGCUACGACCGACGGGGCGACGGAUGGGGGUGGCUCGGCGGGGUUCUGGACGUCCCCGUGAUGGAGCGCGGCCCGCGGACCAGGGAAAUCCGGUUCCGCACGAGGGCGAGGCUCCGGACGAAGCGACUGAGCGAAGCGAGUGAGCCCGAGGUCCCUAGAAAAACCCCUAGGCAGGCGCGUGCGCGCCCGUACCGCAAACCGACACAGGUGGGUGGGUAGAACAUACCGAGGCGAUCGGGUCAACCAUGGUCAAGGAACUCGGCACAAUGGCCCCGUAACUUCGGGAGAAGGGGUGCCCGCGCGUACGUGAACGGACUUGCUCCGGGAGCGGAGGCGGGCCGCAGUGGAGAGGCCCAAGCGACUGUUUACCAAAAACACAGGACUCUGCAGAAGCCGCAAGGCGACGUAUAGGGUCUGACGCCUGCCCGGUGCCGGAAGGUCACGCGGAGGAGUUAGCCGCAAGGCGAAGCCCCGAAGCCAAGCCCCGGUAAACGGCGGCCGUAACUAUAACGGUCCUAAGGUAGCGAAAUUCCUUGUCGGGUAAGUUCCGACCUGCACGAAAGGCGCAACGACUUGGGCGCUGUCUCGACCAUGGACCCGGUGAAAUUGCACUGGUCGUGAAGAUGCGACUUACCCGCGGAAGGACGGAAAGACCCCGUGAACCUUCACUGCAGCUUGGCAUUGGCCGCUGGUCCCGCGUGUAGAGGAUAGGCAGGAGGCAUCGAUCCGGAGGCGCCAGCCCCCGGGGAGCCGCCCUUGGAAUACUGCCCUCGCGCGACCGGCGUCCUAACCCGAGGCCGUCAACCGGCUCGGGGACCGUGCCAGGCGGGCAGUUUGACUGGGGCGGUCGCCUCCUAAAGGGUAACGGAGGCGCGCGAAGGUCCGCUCGGGACGGUCGGCAACCGUCCUUUUGAAUGCAAGAGUACAAGCGGGCUUGACUGCGAGGCCCACAAGCCGAGCAGGUGCGAAAGCAGGCUCUAGUGAUCCGGCGGCCCCGAGUGGGUGGGCCGUCGCUCAACGGAUAAAAGGUACUCCGGGGAUAACAGGCUGAUCUUGCCCAAGAGUCCACAUCGACGGCAAGGUUUGGCACCUCGAUGUCGGCUCAUCGCAUCCUGGGGCUGGAGCAGGUCCCAAGGGUACGGCUGUUCGCCGUUUAAAGCGGUACGCGAGCUGGGUUCAGAACGUCGUGAGACAGUUCGGUCCCUAUCCUCCGUGGGCGCAGGAGAAUCGAUGGAGGCUGCCCCCAGUACGAGAGGACCGGGGUGGACGCACCUCCGGUGAACCGGUUGUCGACCAACGGCACGGCCGGGUAGCCGCGUGCGGCGCGGAUAACCGCUGAAGGCAUCUAAGCGGGAAGCCGUUCCAGGGAUUAGUUCUCCUUCCGGUAAGGGCCCAGGUAGACUACCUGGUCGAUAGACGGCAGGUGCAAGGACGGCGACGUCCUCAGCCGAGCCGCACUAAU